GCCAGCCCUCUGUCCUGUUCUCAAAUGCUCCACUGUGCUGUGUUCUUUCUCCUUGUUGAUUUCAGGGAAGAAACACGCACACAGUACAACAGCAGAUAAGGGCGCGACUGUAUCUGUGAUGUGAAAGCCGAUGCUUGGACAAGCCUCCGAGCCACCAGCCCGAGUGCUGUGCUAACAGCCGGCCAAUCCAACGAAUAGGGCUUCCAGACAAGACUCAGACACUUGAGAUUAUGACGGGAGACAAAAGCCACAUCGAGAAAGCCCACGGAACGCAGCUUCCGGACUGCAGAGGCGACCAGAUCCGCGGCCUCAAGCUCCUGCUGCCCACCUGCCCCGACAGGCUUUGUCCUUAAACUGAGCCAGAAUGGACGCUUCCCUCCUUCCUUAAGUUGCUGUUGUUGGGAAUUACAUCACAACAGCAAAGUGGACAGGGAUCUGAAGUGACCCAUCACCAGGGCCAGGGAUGGAGAUGGCCCAGAGACCUCCCAACACAGUCGGAGGAGGACUGGCCUGACAUUGGGAAGUUCCUGCUACAUCCUGCUACUGUUAGAGUACCUCCCAGAUCCUUGUGUUGAAAUUCAGCAGACCCAUUGUUCCAGUAUUAAGAGGGUGACACUCAAUCUCUAUAUUACUGCAUUCCCGGUAUUUGGAGGUGGGGCUUUUGCAAGGUAAUUAGAUGAGGUCAUGAGGAUUUGGCCUCCGUGAUGACAUUAGUAGCUUUAAAGAAGAGGAAGAGACCUAUGCUCCACAUGCUUGAUCUGUCUCACUGUGUGACGCCCUUGCCACGAUACCCAAACAUCAAAAGAUGCUCAACGGAUGCUAGACCCCACCCCUGGACAUCCUAACUUCAAACUGUAAGCCGGACAAAGCACCCUUCUUCAUAAAUUACCCAGUUGACACAACAGAAAAGGACCGAGACCGCU